rnacentral:tRNA from 1 species
GGAGGGUAUAGCUCAGUGGUAGAGCGCAUGCUUAGCAUGCAUAAAGUCCUGGGUUCAAUCCCCAGUACCUCCA